GCCGCAGUGUUGGAAUGGUAGACAAUCGCGACUCAAAAUCGCGUGGGAGUAAUCCCGUGAGAGUUCAAGUCUCUCCUGCGGCA
rnacentral:tRNA from 1 species